AUGACCCUUGGCAAAGCUCUUGUGUCUUCUUCCUUGGUGUAUGUGUCCAUGUGUGUGUGUGUGUGUGUGUGUGUGUGUGUGUUCUUGUGUGUUGUGAGAAACCAUGAGAGAAGAGAGAGUAAUGAGAGGAAGAAGAAGCGGCGUUGUGAGGAGGCAGUGCCAACAUGGGCAAGGUCUCAUUUGGCAGAUGUCGCCGCCCUCCGACACCGGUGUGUGGGUGGGGGUUGCCGGCUGGCUACUGCCAAAGGAAAUUUGCCCCAGAAUUCAUCUGCACAAGCACAGACGGGAGAAAAGAAUAUGGGUCUCAAGCAUCAUAAUAACAGAAGUCGUCUUACAUUCACGCUCUCUAUUCUUUGUGUUUCAUUCUUGAAGAGUGAAAGUUGUGCAGCAGAAGUCCAUUGA
rnacentral:rRNA from 1 species